rnacentral:rRNA from 1 species
UACAGGGGGGGGCAAGCGUUGUUCGGAAUUACUGGGCGUAAAGGGCCAGUAGGCGGCUAACUAAGUCCGACGUGAAAUCCCCAGGCUUAACCGGGGAACUGCGUCUGAUACUGGAUGGCUUGAAUCCGGGAGAGGGAUGCGGAAUUCCCAGUGUAGAGGUGAAAUUCGUAGAUAUUGGGAAGAACACCGGUGGCGAAGGCGGCGCUCUGGACCGAGACUGACGCUGAGGCGCGAAGGCGUGGGGAGCA